ACUAACAAGGAUUCCCCUAGUAGCGGCGAGCGAAGCGGGAAGAGCUCAAAUUUAUAAUCUGGCACUUUCAGUGUCCGAGUUGUAAUCUCUAGAAGUGUUUUCCGCGUUGGACCGCACACAAGUCUGUUGGAAUACAGCGGCACAGUGGUGACACCCCCGUACACGGUGCGGACGCCCAGCGCUUUGUGAUACACUUUCGAAGAGUCGAGUUGUUUGGGAAUGCAGCUCAAAUUGGGUGGUAAAUUCCAUCUAAAGCUAAAUAUUGGCGAGAGACCGAUAGCGAACAAGUACCGUGAGGGAAAGAUGAAAAGCACUUUGGAAAGAGAGUUAACAGUACGUGAAAUUGUUGGAAGGGAAACGCUUGAAGUCAGACUUGCUUGCCGGAGCUUGCUUCGGUUUGCAGGCCAGCAUCAGUUUUCCGGGGUGGAUAAUGGCGGUUAGAAGGUAGCAGCUUCAGCUGUGUUAUAGCUUUCCGCUGGAUACAUCCUGGGGGACUGAGGAACGCAGCGUGCUUUUAGCGGGGGUUUCGACCUCUUCACGCUUAGGAUGCUGGUGUAAUGGCUUUAAACG
rnacentral:rRNA from 2 species